CCUGGUGCGGCCUAGUCGGCGGCUGAGGCGGGCAGGCGCUCGAGUUUUUCCCCUCUGCUCUUGGAGCAGCUCGAGAAGAGGCCUCACGCCACGAAAGCUCGCUCUGCAGCAACGCUCCUUAAGGUAUUUGUGGAUGGAAAUGGUGUAACCUCUUUAUGAUGUGAUGUGCUUCAAGAAAAGGGAAAACAGCCACAGAUCAUUGGACUGGAAAAACACAGACAAUCUGAUUGCAAGUACAGUAUAUAACAUUGCAAUCAUGUGUAGGUAUGCUGAGAAACAAGUCCCAUGGAGAUAAGUGGGCUUACUUCCAGGUAAGUCAGGAAAUGAUUGUUGUCUGAGUCAGCUGAUUUAAAAACCCCAAACUGCCUGGGGCAAACCUAGGGAACCUCAGAAUUUCAGUAACGUCAAAGAUGUUGCUAAUCUUUCUCUCCGAAUCACUGCAGUUGAACUCAAAGACAAACAUAACAAUCUUUACAGUCGUCACAAUAGAUUUCUUUUAGAGAUGUAGAGCUUGAUUUACACACUUGUGCACCAAGAAGUUUACACAAGUUGAUAUAUACAAAAGAUAUAUUAAGUAAUAGUAAAAGCAAUAAUUUCUAAAUAUUUAGUGUUCAGUAUUUUGAUCUAUGCCCUCAUCAGUGGCUGUGGUGUAAAACUAUUUAUAUUCUAUGCAUCAUUUCAUGGCAGUGAAUGUGACACAACAAUGAAACAUACUACUAUUAAAAUAAUAUUGUAAGACACAGCAAUAUUUGCGAUCAUUGUUUGCCUGCUGCCUGGGGUGCAGUGUGGGAAAAGGACUCUUGUCCAUGCUUGCACUUCAGUUUUAGAAUGCUCUCCCAGGCAGAGAAACGUCUCUGAGGCCUUUCUGGUGCUUGAUAGAGAGAGGCAUUUUUCUUUUUCCAGGCCACUGUCAAUUUGUUUUACUCAGAUUGUGUUUAUACCACGUUUAUGAUGCUUUUAUGGAGUUGCUGUUCUUAGUUUAUUUUUAUGCAUUUUGUUAUUUUAUGUUGUUUUAAACCUUUUAAGAUAAGCUAUCUUGAUUAUGUGUUUGAACAGUGCAAGUACAAGUUUUUAAUAACAAAUAGAAAGCAGCACUUAAAAAACCGGAAACAAUUUUCUAAAAAGCAGUUGGCAGAUCGUACACAAUCCAAAUCCUGAAUUAAAAAGCAUCCACAAGUAAAAUUGUUUUAUCUGUGUGACUGGUGAGGUAUCCAAAGUAAUCUCAAUCAAUGGCAUACCCCUUUAAUCUCAAAGAAACUACAGGUUUGUACAACAGCAGAUAAUCCUUGGGAUAUUGCGGAUAACUCUUUUCUUGUGUUAUGGGAUUGCAGGAAUUUGCCCAUGGCAGGAAAAUGGUCCCAAGGCACCUGCUGAAGCUAAACCAGUCUGGGUCCAGCCAGUGCUUGGAGGGGAGACAGCUUGGGAAUCCCAUGUAAGCCACCUGGAAUUCCAUAAGGGAAGAAAGGGAAUGAUGAUAAUAUGGUGAUGGUGGUACAUGUGAAAGCAUCUUCAGUGUACCGUUUGUAGCUCAUAAAAUGGAAUAUCUAUCAUUACACCUUCUGAAGCAGGAACCUUGUCUAAUCUGCAUUAAGUGAGAUCAGGUGUCAUGAACCAUCUUUUGUGUGUAGUUUUAAGCAUUGUUAGAUAAAAAUGCUGAAGACUUCCUUCAAAACCAAACAUUGAUACACAUGCAAAUGAACUACUUCUUAGGACAUUGAAAGACGGGUCUUUUCAGACAUAAGAAAACUACAAGUGUGUGAAAGGUGAAAAUGCAUUGUGGUAUUUCUUUUAUGCUAAUAGACAUGAAAAUUAAGCAGGCAGAAUUGCCUGCAGUUGUGAAGUGUCUUUUGAAAGCAAGAUUGAUCCCAAAAUAUCUACUAUCAAGUCGAAUAGAAACACUCCAAAGUCCCAUCAAACAUAUUUAAACCUCUAGAUCUUGAGCUGCCUAAUGCUGGCUGGAUUGUGACCUCAGUGACAUGCAGCAGUUGCUUGAUGGUUGUGAAUUUUGCUCUAACCAAGUUCCCCUUAAGAAGACUUGAAGGCAGGGUUGUGUAAUGCACUGAACAUCAGACAGACUGGUGGAAUUUCCCCUCAGAUGUGCCAAUAUACCUGGAUUUUGUUUUGUUCUAUGUUCCUGUGCAAAAAACUUGAAUUCACGUGCUUAUAUAAGUUAUCAAGAAUGACUUUACCUACAGGAAUGUUGUCCUAAAUCGUUAGAUGGCUUUGGAAAAAACAGAUUAGGCACAUUCUUGGAAGAUAAGGCUUAUCGAUGCCAAUCAUAAAUUCAACUUCCCUGUUCAAAGACAGGAUUCCUCUGAAUAUCCAAGGCUGGGGAUGAACAGUUCUGGGCUGUCCAUAACCUAAGGGCUAUAUUUGCCUACUUCUUGAACAUCUGGCUGGCUGCUUGAGGGGGUGUGUUGGGUCACCUCUGACCCCCAUGCAGGAGAUUGAACUGAUAGUGUUUGGGCUACGUGCACCUCCCAGAUCCCUUUAAAUCAGGAAUUGUUCUACUAUAAGAUGUGAAGUAUGAUCAGAAAAGAAUAGAUCCGCCUUCUCCAAUCUGGUGCCGGACUGCUCCUCCUGCCAUUCCAUUGGCUGGGAAUGUUGGGAUGUGCUGUCCCACCACAUCAGGAAGCAGAGAGGACUGGAAUGGGCUGACCAUUUAAAUAACGUGCGGACCACUGCUUCCCAUGGAAGUGAAGGGCCAUGUGUGUCAAGCUGUGCUCUGUGCAGUUCUGGACCCCAUGGGAACUUGUCCGGAUUUUUGUGUGUGAAGAUCAGGCAAGGUUCUCAGAAAGACCAUGGUCCACUCACAGCUGAGUUUAAGUGGAGCUGCAGUUCACACAGAGCAGGCACACCUCAGUGAUAACCAUUUGUGUACCCCAGAACAUAUGCCAACACCUUCUGCAGUGCACCAGGGGUUCUCACAGGCAAAACCUUGUGGAAAUAUUUCACUGAAAAUAGACAGAAAGGGAAAGGGCCUGAAUGCCAUGAGCCACUGAGCUCUCUUGCUUUAGAUCUUCUGCCCUCCUCUGGUAAAUGCUGCAUCUGAUGAAAACAGCAGUGUCCAAGAUGCUUAUGCCAGACUAAAUUUAAGAUGCCACAAAACCCUUUUGCUGUGAGAAGCAUGUCAUGGCAACCCCUCUGGAAACCCUGCAUUUCACAAUGGUGUCAUUUUUGAUAAGUGCAUCUUACCCUGGGCACUUGUAGGGCUUCUGACAGUGUUCCUUGACCACUACAGCCAAGUAGUUCUUUCUUCUCAACUCACCUCUUCUAGAUCCCCAUCCUGUGCCAGGACCACCUCCUGGCACAGUUUGCCAGGGCCUUAAUCAGGUGGCUUCUGCAAACUUGGCAAGUCCAAGGUCGUUUAUUCCAUCAGAGCCCAAUCUCCACCUCCUUGUACACCAGCCCUUGCUCUGCCGGCUUUCCCUGAGCCAAUCGGCGUUCUUGGGGCUGGCUUGGAGGGGCCCCACCCCAAAAAAAGGCAAAUUACACCUCUCUUUUCCUAAGUCUCUUUGUACACAGCUGGGGCCCUUUGCUUUCAUGCAUGCAGUGAUUACUAAAAAAAGAAAGGAGGAUCGUCAUCGGCGCUUACUCAGCAGAACAGCAAAGGCUGUUCGGAAGAUGUGGCUGGCUUCCAGAUCACUUGGUUCUGCCCUUGCAUCUCUGUGACCAAAGGACACUGCUGAUCCUUCUCUCGCCUGCAUAGCUUGGACGCGUCCAGCCUUGACAUCCCCGAUUGGAGCAGGCGCCACCGUACUUGAAUGACCUGCCAUCCCAAAACUGGAAAAGCAUGAACACCCGCUCCCUCCCCCCCCGCCCAGCAUUCUCCUGAUGAAAGAAUUUGGGCAGGUGGGAGUUUGCUGAAAAGCAUCUGAGUGGCACUGAGCAAGGCAGGGAGGUCACAGUUGGAUACUGGCUGUUCUGGUUGCCCUUGAAUGUUGGCAGUCUUACAAAAAAACAGGUUUGUUAAAAUGUUAUUCAGUUAUUUGUCUGUAAUUGUUUAUGCUGGUCUUCAGCCAAAAAGUUUCCAGAUCAGGUGAUACAGAAUCAGUAGAACAAGACAGUCCCAGCCGGCCGGCCUGCAUCUAAAAAGAUGUAACACAUGAAGAGAAAGGGAUGUCUGGGGAUGAGGGGAGACGGGGGAGGAAUGUAUGCACAGGACUCUCCUUGCGCCCUGCUGCCUCAUCUCUCUUGGGAUGAAGAAACCAUGGUUGGUUUUCCAUUUCCCAGUGCUGCACAAUUGCUCAUCAUCCAGGCAAUUCUUAGCACUUCCUGCCUCUUACCCAAUCCCCGGGCAGCAUCUUGUCAUACCCAUGGUGACACUGGUUCUUCCACCAACCACAUAGAUGGUCCUUUAGCUCCUAGAACUGGUUUCUGCAAAGAAACACAAUGCCAUACACAAGACGCAAACUCCAGAUCACAGAAGCCUGCCUUUAUUCUUACCAUGCCAGCACUUGUUCCCUCCUCACGCUUUCAUCAGUCCCAACCUGCCUCACUCCUGCAAAUUAUACCCUGCAAAUAUUUUUAAAAUGCUUGGUGUGCCAGAUGCCAAGCGGGAAGCCAUCUUGCACAACCUGGUAAUUGCCAAGCCGAAUGCACUCCCCGCUCGCCCCUGUGGACGGCGGUCUGCGAAGGAGUGGCCAGCCUC